rnacentral:rRNA from 1 species
CCUACGGGUGGCAGCAGUGGGGAAUAUUGGACAAUGGGGGCAACCCUGAUCCAGCCAUGCCGCGUGUGUGAAGAAGGCCCUCGGGUUGUAAAGCACUUUCAGUGAGGAAGAACGCCUGGUGGUUAAUACCCAUCAGGAAAGACAUCACUCACAGAAGAAGCACCGGCUAACUCCGUGCCAGCAGCCGCGGUAAUACGGAGGGUGCGAGCGUUAAUCGGAAUUACUGGGCGUAAAGCGCGCGUAGGUGGCUUGAUAAGCCGGUUGUGAAAGCCCCGGGCUCAACCUGGGAACGGCAUCCGGAACUGUCAAGCUAGAGUGCAGGAGAGGAAGGUAGAAUUCCCGGUGUAGCGGUGAAAUGCGUAGAGAUCGGGAGGAAUACCAGUGGCGAAGGCGGCCUUCUGGACUGACACUGACACUGAGGUGCGAAAGCGUGGGUAGCAAACAGGAUUAGAUACCUGGUAGUC